rnacentral:rRNA from 1 species
UACGUAGGGUGCGAGCGUUGUCCGGAAUUAUUGGGCGUAAAGAGCUUGUAGGUGGUUUGUCGCGUCUGCUGUGAAAACCCGAGGCUCAACCUCGGGCCUGCAGUGGGUACGGGCAGACUAGAGUGCGGUAGGGGAGAUUGGAAUUCCUGGUGUAGCGGUGGAAUGCGCAGAUAUCAGGAGGAACACCAAUGGCGAAGGCAGAUCUCUGGGCCGUAACUGACGCUGAGGAGCGAAAGCGUGGGGAGCGAACAGG